rnacentral:rRNA from 1 species
GAUCCUGGCUCAGGAUGAACGCUGGCGGCGUGCCUAACACAUGCAAGUCGAACGAAGCACUGUAAACGGAGAUUCGUCAAAGUUUGCUUUGACUUAGUGGCGGACGGGUGAGUAAUGUAUGAGCAACCUGCCUUUCAGUGGGGGACAACAGUUGGAAACGACUGCUAAUACCGCAUGAUGUCAAUUGGGGGCAUCCCCGAAUGACCAAAGGAUUUAUUCGCUGAAAGAUGGGCUCAUA